AUUGAACGCUGGCGGCAGGCCUAACACAUGCAAGUCGAGCGGUAGCACAGAGAGCUUGCUCUCGGGUGACGAGCGGCGGACGGGUGAGUAAUGUCUGGGAAACUGCCUGAUGGAGGGGGAUAACUACUGGAAACGGUAGCUAAUACCGCAUAACGUCGCAAGACCAAAGAGGGGGACCUUCGGGCGUCUUGCCAUCAUAUGUGCCGAGAUGGGAUUAGGUAGUAGGUGGGGUAACGGCUCACCUAGGCGACGAUCCCUAGCGGGUCUGAGAGGAUGACAAGCCACACUGGAACGGAGACACGGUCCAGACUCCUACGGGAGGCAGCAGUGGAGAAUAUUGCACAAUGGGCGCAAGCCUGAUGCAGCCAUGCCGCGUGUAUGAAGAAGGCCUUCGGGUUGUAAGUACUUUCAGCGGGGAGGAAGGUGUUGAGGUUAAUAACCUCAGCAAUUGACGUUACCCGCAGAAGAAGCACCGGCUAACUCCGUGCCAGCAGCCGCCGUAA
rnacentral:rRNA from 1 species